AGUGAACGCUGGCGGUAGGCCUAACACAUGCCAGUCGAACGGCAGCACAGUAAGAGCUUGCUCUUACGGGUGGCGAGUGGCGGACGGGUGAGGAAUACAUCGGAAUCUACUUUUUCUUGGGGGAUAACGUAGGGAAACUUACGCUAAUACCGCAUACGACCUACGGGUGAAAGCAGGGGAUCUUCGGACCUUGCGCGAUUGAAUGAGCCGAUGUCGGAUUAGCUAGUUGGCGGGGUAAAGGCCCACCAAGGCGACGAUCCGUAGCUGGUCUGAGAGGAUGAUCAGCCACACUGGAACUGAGACACGGUCCAGACUCCUACGGGAGGCAGCAGUGGGGAAUAUUGGACAAUGGGCGCAAGCCUGAUCCAGCCAUACCGCGUGAGUGAAGAAGGCCUUCGGGUUGUAAAGCCCUUUUGUUGGGAAAGAAAAGAAGCAGGUUAAUACCCCGCUGUUCUGACGGUACCCAAAGAAUAAGCACCGGCUAACUUCGUG
rnacentral:rRNA from 1 species